GACGUCACUUCAAGAUGGCGGCGCUGAAAAGUCAAAAACAAGAAAUAACAGCGUGAAUUCAGCUUAAAAAAACCCCCAAAAACAACAACAAAAAACAACAGUCUUUUGGGUUUCUAUUUAUAUUUUAAAUUGUCAUAUACUUUGAUAAUUGAAAUGUUAAUUCGCUUUUUAAACACCCCCCAAACAACUCUGUACUUCCAGUUGUCAGUUGUUUUCAAGACAAUCUCGCCCCUCUCAAUAUGGCUGACGCGUUGCCGUAUGGUAGCAGCUAGCAUCAACGGCUAAUUGCUACUUGAAUGCUGCCAUUUUCCUGUGUUCUCUGGCGCCCGAUGACUUUAACUUUGAAAACUCACCGUGUGUGUUUGUGUGUGUUUAAUCGGCGCUAAAUGCCACACAGCUGUAAAUCCAAGCGGAUCUGAGACUCAGGAACUAAGACACACAGGACAAUGUCCAGUAAUGCAGGCACUGAAGACGCAGAGGAAGACGAUGUUGAAUUUGUCUCUGAGGGUUCGCUUAGACCUGUUCUGGAGUGCAUCGACCUGCUGAGCGAAGGAGAGGACGAUGCAGGAGUGUGUACGAUUGAGGAUCAGGUGGACAGACAGAAGGCCCAAGCAGUUUCAACCUUGGACAGACUGGCUCGCCAGGUAGCUGUGGAGAAACAGGAGCGGGCAGAAAAGUGCAAAGCCUUUAAGGAGAAGAUGAUCUCGCAGCAAGCUCACGGCCGUCGUGAGUUGGCAGUGAGUCGAUGCAGCAGUGAGGACAGCAGUGAUGCCAAACGCUGUGUGGACAUCUGGCUGAGUAUGCCAGGAUUAAAGCCUGGUAUCAUCAAUACUGGCACAGGCUGGAGGCGCAGAUCGGCUCCCAAUCCCUCGUUAAGGUCCUCCCCUCAAACCUGCCCCGUCAUUAAUUGUGGACGGGUAUAUGAAAAUGUCCCUCUGCUUGAGGGUCACCUUAAACGAUUUGACCAUUCUCCAUGUGACCCCACUAUCACACUUAAGGGCAGCCCUGCUUCUCUGUAUGCCUGCGUGGCCUGUGGUAGUCAUUUUGACACCAGCGAGCACUGGAGAAUGCAUCUAGACUCUCAGCUGUCUUCCUCGAAUGCUGGUGCUCAUGACAGCUCUCAGACCUGCCAGUUGAUUGUUUGCUUCGCUUGCCCUGCCUGUUUCCUCCUCUUUAACUUCAAAGAUGAGUGUCUCCAGCACAUGGCAGCCAAAAACCACUUCACUCAGUCUGUCUCUCUACAUGAGAUGAAGUCAUCGGGGCCAAUUCCAGUUCCACGAUAUGCAAAGAACCGGCUAAUUGCUUUAUGUAAAGAUAUUGCAUUUAGAGUCAAAUGCACAGCUUGUUCAAAGGUGCUUACUUCACACAUGGAAGCCAAGGCUCACUUCAAUGUGCACUGCAGACAGGGCUGUGCUAUUGCAGAAGCCGAUCAAAGCGUGGCUGAGGUCAUGAAGCAGCUGACUGUUUUGAGCCAAUGCACUUCCUGCUCCAAAAUCUUCCUAUGCCAAAGACAGAUCGAGGAACACGGAGAACAAACACAGCACGAGGUGGAGAUGAUCAGCAGCAUGGAGCGAGCACUUCUAGUCUACAGCAACUACAGCGAAAUCCGACACGGCCUCAAGGGUACCGCCAGUCACCCCUCUAAACAUGCCAGUGCAACUGUAUCUUCAUCGCAUAGGGACAAAAGAGACAAAAACGACUGUCUUUGGUCCCCUGCCAAGCGGCAGAGACUCUCCAGCUCAAGUCCUCAAGCUAAGUGUGAUCGAGCCUCGAAACUCGCUUGGUUCUGUGAGUGUGGCAUGCAGUUCCUGGAGGAGGAUCAAGCCAGCAAGCAUCUUCUAGCAGCCAACCAAAUCUUUCACAAGUGUGCCGUCUGCGGCAAGCUAAUGGGCGAAUCGUCCAUCGCUCGUCUGCACAUGAGCAGGUUCCAUGGCGGCGCUCAUCUGUCCAACUUCCUUUUCCACUGCAGGCUGUGCAAAUCAGACAUGCCAAGGAUUGAGGACAUCUUGUCUCAUGUUGGUGUUUCCCAUCAAGGGCACACCUACUAUGAAGAAAGAGAAAAAACUCAAGAGGAAAUCUUGUCUAGUCCUUCUCAGAAACCGUCCACCAGGGUAGACAGCGGGCCAGCUGUUUCCACUCCGCACGAUAUCAGAAACAAGGAACGGUGGCUGUGCCGAAUGUGCGAGGACAUAUUUGACUCUGAAGCGGUGGUGCUCAAGCAUUGCAGCGAUGUGACCAGUCACAGCUUCCAGAGGUUCGCUUGUGGCCACUGUCCACAGAAGUUCUUUAAAGAGUCGACCCUCCGCCGGCACUGUGCUAACGAGCACAAUAAUCAGCUGCUCCUUCGCUACUUCUGUGGACUCUGUGACAGCAUGCUGUACGAGUCUGAGCAGGAGUUCCUAGAGCACUACUCCAGCCUGCACAGCAAGGAUUACUACCACUUGGAUAAAAUAGAGAAUGGAUCUCUUUCAGUCACAGAGAGUUCUGAUGAGGUACCGACAACAAGUAAAAGCCUUCCCCAACUCUGUCCAUGCAUGGGCACCCAAAAAGCCAAAGAGGAAACCAAGUCCACCUUUACAAGAUGCAUGAAGCAGCUGGCCAUAGAAGGCAAAUGUGGAUACAUCUGUCACCGAUGCGCGGCAAAGACAGGCUCUUACGCCGAGAUGAAAACGCACAUGCACUUGAAGCACGAGGCCCUGGGCAAGGACAAAAGCUUUGAUGUCGUCUGCGAGUUGUGUUCCGAGAGCCACAAGGAUGUGCCCGGUUUCCACUCGCAUUACCACACCCAUCACUGCUUAAUGGAACCGUGUAUGUCCUCUCGAUGCGGUGGAUCAAGCAGGGAAGAUGCCUCGAUCGAGAAGGUUUUGAACGCAGAGGAAAUCUCUGCCGAAAAGAAUGCUGAGGAGUUUCAGGAUGUAAAGACAGCCAUUGCUUCAAGCACCACUUCCAAAGAGAACAAGGAUGACUUUGAUGAGGCGAUUAAACUGGCUUUGGCUUUAAGUGCAGAAGAAGCAAAGGAGCCAACAGCAUUUGAUCAGGGUGGGUCAAGGUAUUCUUCUUUUCAACAGUUGCCUCAACGUGCACAUAGUUCCUAAGAGUGUAUGACUGAGCUUGCAUUAAUUAAUCGUGUUUUUAACUUUGCCAGCUUUGAAUCUCUGAAAAGAGGUACCAGCAUAACUGUGAAAUCAGCUUGGUAAACUCACACUGGGCUAUUAAAGGGAUAAGAGAAGCUUUGGGUGACAAGGAGCAUUGUUUGAGGCCUUGUUUACACGGUGAGGUGUUUGGGGCUGUCUGUUAAGUGUCUUAGAUGUGACUGGAAAAUGUAGCACUUGGCACUCUUUAUCUAGAGACAGUUGUGGGAAAUGUAUUAUACUGAAGAAUUAGUCAAAUUGCUGUAACAGAUUAGUUAGGAAGUAGAAGUGUGUAUACAAUUGGUAACCAAAUCAAGCUCAGGAGCAGAAUCAGAACCACCAAGUUUGAAGGUACUUGAUUUCGAACCACUCCAAUGUCGCUUUGGCAGUAUGUUUCUAUCCUUUUCCACCCCAUUCUCAAGGCUGGAGCAGGUUUUCUUUUAAAAAAUACCCUGUAUUUGGCUUCAUCCUUCUACCUUCAAACCUGACCAGUUUUUACUGAUGAAAGGCAUUCCUACAACAAGAUGCUACCACCAUCAUGUUUCACUUUGAGAUUGGUGUUCUUCUGAGGGGAACUGCUUGCACCAGGGGUUUCACAGCAACAGGAGAUGGAAGAGGCUCUGAAGAGAAGCCUGGUGGACUUUUGAUCGGAAGCUACACACAAACACACACCAUUGAAUUUGUCCUUUAUUUUCAUGUUGUUCAUGUAGCAACUGUAAGCUGU